rnacentral:rRNA from 1 species
CAUGCAUGUCGAGCGCCCCGCAGGGGGAGCGGCAGACGGGUGAGUAACGCGUGUGGAAUCUACCCAUCUCUACGGAACAACUCCGGGAAACUGGAGCUAAUACCUGUAUACGUCCUUAUGAGAGAAAGAUUUAUCGGAGAUGGAUGAGCCCGCGUUGGAUUAGCUAGUUGGUGGGGUAAUGGCCUACCAAGGCGACUAUCCAUAGCUGGUCUGAGAGGAUGAUCAGCCACACUGGGACUGAGACACGGCCCAUACUCCUACGGGAGGCAGCAGUGGGGAAUAUUGGACAAUGGGCGCAUGCCUGAUCCUCCCAUGCCGCGUGAGUGAUGAAGGCCCUAGGGUUGUAAAGCUCUUUCACGGUGAUAUAAUGACGGCACCGUAUAAGACCCCCGGCUAACUUCGUGCCUCAGCCGCAGGUAUACGAACGGCGCUAGCGUUGUUCGGAUGUCUGGGCGUAAAGCGCACGUACGCCGAUCUUAAGCAGGGGUGAAAUCCCGGGGCUAACCCCGGAACUGCCUUUGAUACUGGGUACUGGAGUCCGGAGGAGGGAGUGGAAUUCCGAGUGUAUAGGUGAAAUUCAUAUGAUUUCUGAGGAACACCUCUGGCGAAUGCGGCUCACUGGUGCGGUACUGACACUCAUCUGCACAAGCGUUGGGAGCACACAGGAUUAGAUACUCUGGUAGUCCACGCCGUAUACGAUGCAGGCUAGCCCUUGGCAGAUUACUUGUCCGUGUCGCAGCUAACGCAUGUAUCUUCCCGCCUGGCGAGUACUGUCUCAUGAUAGAAGCUCAGAUGACUUGACGGGG